rnacentral:piRNA from 1 species
CUCCCUCCCACUAGCCCUGCUGGGGC